AGUGGGAUUGCUAGGUCAAACGGUGAUUCCAUUUUAUGUUUUUUGAUGAAUCUCCACACUGCUUUCCAUAAUGGUUGUACCAAUUUGCAGCCCCACCAGCAAU
rnacentral:pre_miRNA from 1 species